rnacentral:lncRNA from 1 species
ACUAUCGAUUGCAGUCGGGUACUACGAAAAGGCGCUCACAUCAUAGACCCCGCAUAACUGGUUUGAUGGAGAGGACCGUUUUAGCUAAAUAUAGGCAAAGUGUGGAAGAAGAAUUAUGAAAGAACGUGUUUAAAGGAAGAAGAGGAACGUGUAUGUGUGUUUGAAAGAGAGAGCAAGACGUUUUAAUAAACAGCAGUUUAUAGGCCACCACACAUUUCAUGGAUAUGGGAUUAACUAACCACAGAAAAUGAUGCAUAUCGACGAUAAGAAAUACAGUAAACUCCUGGCACCAUGUCAUUACUUCAGCUGACUAACUUCCUGGAGGCUCUGUAUACCUUUCCCGAAUGGUUCGAGUAAGUGGGUGGGUAGGCCUAUGCAUGUAUUAUGAACUGGGUUUGUUUGUUGCACAAUUCCCCAAAACUGUGUUUAGACGAACAAAUCGAGAUAGGAAUGUUGGUUCAAUCUGAUUAUAUUUGCUAGGCCUACUUUUCCAAAUUCAUCUCAACUGCCAUUGAAAAUGGAGGCUCAGCAGGUCGCACUUGGGUCCAUUGCCAACCCGGUAUCAUUUCGGGACCACAACUAUGUAGCUGUCCUAGAUGGGUGCGUUAAGUCCGGUUCGUUGUUCUGACCCAACUUUCGCCCCGGACCAGACCUCCAUCGAUAUGCCUACCGCCCCGGACCCCAGCAAAGAGAUCAAAUGGCUGCGAACCAAGGACCUGAGCCCUAGGACCAUGCCUCAGGACUACCUGGCAUGAUGACUCCUUGCUGUCCCCAGUUCACCUGGCCGUGCUGCUGCUCCAGUUUCAACUGUUCUGCCUGCGGCUAUGGAACCCUGACCUGUUCACCGGACGUGCUUGUUGCACCCUCGACAACUACUAUGAUUAUUAUUAUUUGACCAUGCUGGUCAUUUAUGAACAUUUUAACAUCUUGACCAUGUUCUGCUAUAAUAUCCACCCUGCACAGCCAGAAGAGGACUGGCCACCCCUCAUAGCCUGGUUCCUCUCUAGGUUUCUUCCGAGGUUUUUGGCCUUUCUAGGGAGUUUUUCCUAGGGAGUUUUUCCUAGCCACUGUGCUUCUUUCACAUGCAUUGCUUGCUGUUUGGGGUUUUAGGCUGGGUUUCUGUACAGCACUUUGAGAUAUCAGCUGAUGUACGAAGGGCUAUAUAAAUAAAUUUGAUUUGAUUUAAAUGUCUCAUUGAAAAACCCUCAGUAAAAGUGCAUUCGGAAAGUUUUCAGACCCCUUGACUUUUUCCACAUUUUGUUACAUUACAGCCUUAUUCUAAAAUCUAUUCAUUAACAUUUCCUCUCAU